GACUUUUGCCAUCCAAGUGCAGGACUCAGCACUUCACCUUGUUAAACCUCAUACUAUUGGCCUUGACCCAUUGAUCCAGCCUGUCCAGACCCCUCUGCAGAGCCUUCCUGCCCUCCAGAUCAACAUUCCCACCCAACUUGGUGUCACCUGCAAAUUGACUGAGGGUACACUCAAUCCCCUCAUCCAGACCAUUGAUGAAUUCCUCCUGCUAUAUUUUGUCUCUUGUCCCUUUUAAAAUUUUCUUGCAAUGUCUCCCUCUGAGCAGUUCAACGUAUUUUUAAAUUCUCACUAUGUUUCUUGUACCCUCUCACUUUUUAUAUUAUUUUUUUCUGUGUUAGGUUCAUGUAUCCAGGUUUUGGUAGCAGCAGAGGUGCAGGGGUGGCUUCUGUGAAGACAUCAGGAACUGUCCCUGUGGCAGACAGAACCAGUUCCAGCAGGAUGCAGAAAAGAUCUGCCACUGGUCAAAGCUGAGCCACAGCUCUCCAGAUGCGGCAUCACCAGUGUGGAGUAAAGGGGAAGGACCUUUAAACUUUGCUACCACUCUAAACAAAGUGGCUUCCUCAAAUACUGUAAGAAACAGAGCUAUUCCUGUCCACUAGCCCAUCAGACCAGCCCAUGAGGGAGAUGCCUGGUGACUGGAGGGAGGCAGAAGAACUGAAGGCUUGGCUGGAGAGUUCGAACAGUACAUGGGAAACAACUGUGGUGCAAGCUGUGUGUAAUGAGGGAUGGGCACAGCUGCAGCCAGGCUGGGAGCAGCUGCUUCCACAGGCUCGCAGAAUCCUUUGGGUCCAGCAUAGCAAGGUAAGCACAAGUGCAAAGACACCUCCCUCCAGCACACUCUGCAAGUUUACAGAUGUGUGAUCUGAUGAAUGUGGCAUUUAAACUUGGCUUUCAGUGAAGAAACAUGAUUUGUAGUGUCUUCUGUUUGCACCUUUGUUUUGCCCAAAAACAACGUAGGGUUUACUGCCAAAGCAGAAAACAGAGCAAAUGUGUCUUACAGUGCUGCCAGAAACUGGAUUCUUAAGAGGACUUUCACAAUUACAAUUAUAUCUUUUAGUACAAAUGAGAGAGUGGAAAAAAGGGUAACAAAUCAGGGUG
rnacentral:lncRNA from 1 species